rnacentral:rRNA from 1 species
AGUGAACGCUGGCGGUAGGCCUAACACAUGCAAGUCGAGCGGAAGCACAGUGCUAGCUUCUGGUUUCAGCUGCCGACUGGCGGGUGGUUCAUGAGAACAUCCGUGUCUACUUUUUAGAGCGGGCUAACGCGGGGACUAUUACGCCAAACGUGCAGACGGCGUAAGGGUGGAAUCAGGGGACCUUCCGCUAUUGCAUGAGUGUAUGUGCGGAUGUCGGAUUAGCUAGUUGGCGGGGUAAAGGCCCACCAAGGCGACGAUCCGUAGCUGGUCUGAGAGGAUGAUCAGCCACACUGGAACUGAGACACGGUCCAGACUCCUACGGGAGGCAGCAGUGGGGAAUAUUGGACAAUGGGCGCAAGCCUGAUCCAGCCAUACCGCGUGGGUGAAGAAGGCCUUCGGGUUGUAAAGCCCUUUUGUUGGGAAAGAAAAGCAGCAGGUUAAUACCCCGCUGUUCUGACGGUACCCAAAGAAUAAGCACCGGCUAACUUCGUG